GUGACGGUGACGACUGAUGGUGACAAUGGUAUGACGCAGUAACGGCAGCGGGCCGCUACCGGCGGUUCGGGUCAAGUUCGACAGAUUCAGGUUACGAUUCUGAUGUGUUGAUUUACAUAAGUGCUAACAACCUCACCAUCUUGACAACCUACCUUGCGACACCCUUACAAAUGUUGUUCAGGUCACAUACUCGCUGAAGAUGAUUCACUUUUCUUUGCUUGCUAAGUUAAGGAUAACACAAUGGGAAUUCUUCCAACAUCUUACACAUUUGUAGUUUGUUUGGUUUUACUUGCACCCUAAGGUUAAUUUUUGAGAUGAUAUUCAAGACGAAGCAAGAUUUAGGGUGGACUAGAUACACAC